rnacentral:rRNA from 1 species
UACGAAGGGGGCAAGCGUUGUCCGGAUUUAUUGGGCGUAAAGAGCGUGUAGGCGGUUAGGUAGGUCCGUUGUGAAAACUCGAGGCUCAACCUCGAGACGCCGAUGGAAACCAUCUAACUAGAGUCCGGAAGAGGAGAGUGGAAUUCCUGGUGUAGCGGUGAAAUGCGCAGAUAUCAGGAAGAACACCCGUGGCUAAGGCGGCUCUCUAGUACGGUACUGACGCUGAGACGCGAAAGCGUGGGGAGCGAACAGG